rnacentral:piRNA from 1 species
UGUACACCAUCCCGUACUUGCCUAGAAA